rnacentral:rRNA from 1 species
UGGGGAAUAUUGCACAAUGGUGGGAACUCUGAUGCAGCGACGCCGCGUGAGUGAUGAAGGAAUUCGUUUAGUAAAACUCUGUUCUAUGGGAAGAAAAGGACUGUACCAUAGGAGAAAGCUCCGGCUAAAUACGUGCCAGCAGCCGCGGUAAUACGUAUGGAGCGAGCGUUGUCCGGAAUUAUUGGGCGUAAAGGGUGCGCAGGCGGCUUUACAAGUUGGAUGUGAAAUAUUGUGGCUCAACCACAAGCGUGCAUCCAAAACUGCAAAGCUUGAGUUAAGGAGAGGUAAGUGUAAUUCCUGGUGUAGCGGUGGAAUGCGUAGAGAUCAGGAGGAAUACCGGUGGCGAAGGCGACUUACUGGACUUAAACUGACGCUCAGGCACGAAAGCGUGGGGAGCAAACAGG